rnacentral:lncRNA from 1 species
GGAGCUUCGGGGCAGCCUAGGAACAUACCUCGCACGUGACUGAGCAUGCGCCUUCACACAGAUAUAUUUUUAGUUGAAAUAUGGAGCCACAGCAACACUUUGACUUUUCCUCUUCAGAAGAUGAGACAGGCCGGGGUCGUCAUUGUUACAAAAGCAAGGCCUGUGAUCGUGACAAGGACAGGCUGGGGCAGAGACCACACGCUCAACCAGGUAUCCACCAGGUGUGGGCCCUUUAUAGGAGCUACAAAGAGGGGGCAGCCAGCAAUGUGGCCUCGACACCUGACUCCAGGCACUCCGACCUGGAGGAGGGAGAUGAAAGAACUCACCUUUCCCCAGGGGCUCAGCCAGAACUCCAGGCCCCUGAGCGGGGAGAGUGCGUGUGUGUGCACGUGUAUGAGUGUGCACACGGGUGUGCUCACUCACACAGCACAUGCACACAUGCGCUGCCCCUCCUGAGAUGCUCUCAGGUCCCUGACAGGGUAGGGUUGUAGCUGUGUUCCCCACAGCUGACUGUCAGCUAACCAGGGCUAGGGGUGAGUGCAUGGUGGAGGACACAGGGUCUUAGCCUGAUGCUCGAAUCCUCCUUCUGGAACAGGCUGAUGGUGCCAGAGCACAGCACGAACCACCUACCCACCAUGGGGCUCUCCAGGGCUCGGUCAUUUGGCUCCUGU